AUUGAACGCUGGCGGCAGGCCUAACACAUGCAAGUCGAACGAGUGGCGGACGGGUGAGAUAUGUAUGGGAAACUGCCUGAUGGAUGGGGAUAACUACUGGAAACGGUAGCUAAUACCGCAUACCAUCGGAUGUGCCCAGAUGGGAUUAGCUAGGAGGUGGGGUAAAGGCACACCUAGGCGACGAUCCCUUGCGGGUGUGAGAGGAUGACCAGCCACACUGGAACUGAGACACGGUCCAGACUCCUACGGGAGGCAGCAGUGGGGAAUAUUGCGCAAUGGGCGCAAGCCUGAUGCAGCCAUGCCGCGUGUAUGAAGAAGGCGUUCGGGUUGUAAAGUACUUUCAUCGGGGAGGCGUUACCCGCAGAAGAAGCACCGGCUAACUCCGUGCCAGCAGCCGCGGUAAUUC
rnacentral:rRNA from 1 species